ACAGAACAGGAGGAUCUUGGUGAUGCUGGCUAACAACACAAUGCCCUUGGUCUUCAGAAGAGGUUUAGGCUCCAGAAGUUGCCACAGAUGUACCUGGUGGUUCCCCACAUCAUUUCAGGGCCUCCAAAUCGGCUUUCCCUCUUUGAUGGAGUGAGCUGACUUUCCUUGAUAUCCCUAUCAGGUUCUGUGCUUCCUUCUUUCAAGAUGAACAGAAAUCAUGUCCCUGCUGGAGCUGGACAGCAUUUCUGCCUAUCACACCUAUAUUGACCCAAGCAAGUUGUUUUGACUCCUCCUGCCCUGGAUCAGAUGUCUCUCCCCUGGAACAUUUGUUCACCUUUGCCUGAGUUGCUUAACUGCCCUGCAGUCCACCUAGACCAUGGGUGUCUGGAAGACUGGGAUCAUGUCCAGUGGCCCAGCACUCGGGCUACCCAGCAAGUAUCUGUUGAAUGAAUGACUGCAUGGGGCAAAACCCACAUUUCAACACUAAAGCUUCCUCUGGGUCACAGAUAUUCGAGGGGGACUUGUGGGCAAUGUCAGUAUGGUGGAAGAAGGAAGGCCAACUCCUGGGGAAUCUAAGAAUAGAAGCAGUAGUCCUGAGUUAUCUGCCUCCAAAACCUAAACAGAGGGACAAAACAGCUGUGGUCCAUUGCUGCACCACCCAGUUCCUUUUUAGGCUUAUGAAUCUUGACAGUCACCUUGCUUUGACGGAGAAGGAAAGAGAACAGCCUGUGUGAUAGAGAGCCUUCAGGAGAGAAGGUGGAAAAGGACUUACCCUAGUCAGUGAGGAUACUACAACAGCUGCAGUGGCUGGGAUAGCUCCACUUGAAUGAGAUGACGCUGGGCCACUUAGGGAAAAGAGAGAAGAUCCCGAAGAUGACAAGGACCACAAGUCAGGGAGAGGACUUGGGACACACAGCAGGAGGGGAUUAAAGGAUUAUGUGUAUUGGGCCCCUGUUACCAGCACCCAGAAAGGCAUGCACUUUAACUGCCAAGAAACUAAUAAUGAAUUGGAACACCAUCACUGUGCUCAACCUCUGUGCUAUUUCAAAAUCAGCUGUACACUGGCUUUGUAGGGCACGGUGGGUGAAAGCCAGUACAGGCUCUUGUGUUGUCAUUUAAUGAUUAAAAAAAAAUGUAUGUGCUUAUUUUGGUUUAGGGGGACAGGGUCUCAAGUCGCUGGCUUUGAACUUGUUAUGCAUCCAACACUGUCUUUGAACACCUGUGGGUUCUAGAAUUGACGUAUGUACCCCCCACAAUGGGCAAUCUGAACUUUAUUUUUUUAAAGACAGGGUCUUACUACGUAUGUUCAACUGGCCCAGAAUUUGCUUUGUAGACCAGGCUGGCCUUGAACUCACAGAGAUCGGCCUGCCUCUAGAUCUAGCUGCCUCUGGUGGGAUUAAAAGUGUAAACUAACACACCUUGCUCUCUGAUCCUUUCCAGGACAGCUAGGCUACACAGAGAGACCCUGUCCCAGGGGUGGGGCUGAGGAGCAACUAACUUGCUGACAUGCUAGCUGUUCUUUUGAAUGUUCUACACCCAUCGUUUCAGACAAACCUCACAGCUUUCCUAGGUAACCCUUUGCUAAAUAAGUAUGCACAUCUCACUGGUGGGCAAAUAAAGACAUUGUGAGGUUAAAUUACAUGCCUAAGGCCACAGAGUUAGUGAAUGGCAAAGCCAAGAUUUGAAGGAAGGCAGUGUGGCUUCAGAUCCCAAACUGGUAAGCACCACUCUAUACUGCCUUUUAGUAGGCAAUAAGCCUUUGGCAUGCAAGGGGUGGAUGGGUUCUACCCCAGUGUGGCAGAACGAGAGCAGCUGUGUGGAAAUCCUGUAUGAGCGUCAGCGACAGCAGACAUCACCAAGAAUGAAGGCCUAUGAAUCCAGGUCAACUAUGUCAUCCUCAAGACUUCACAACAUCUCCACACAGCACUCAGGGUGAGUCUCACUUCUAGAGGCCACACCCUGAAGCUUUCAACAAGCACUCCCUUGACGUGCUUGCUCCGUGAAUGUUCCUUGAGAACUUAGUCUGAGCCAGGCAAGCCACACUAGGCUCUGGAAAUAAAAAUCAGCCUGAUACACAGUCCCUCCCCUAUGUACCAGGAGAGAUGAUAGGUGGACACCCUCAACCAACGACGAAUGACCUUAAGGCUCAGCAAUACCCUAAGGCUGAUGUCACCCAUUGUCCAUGUAUCCUCUGAGGAUUACUUUCUUUUUCUAGAAGUCUGGGGGCAUCUUGGUCAUCAGGUGAGUGGGCCCUCAUCCCUUCAAGUCAUCUGUGUCCUCGAAUGUUUUUCAGACAAGAGCUUGAGCUUUUGGUUUUGUUUUUUUUUUCCCCCAGUUGGUGGGGUAGAGUGGAGGUACUGGUCUCAUAUAGCCCAGACUGACCUUGGACUUGCUAUGUAGCUAAGGCUAGCCUGGAACCACUGGUCUUGCCACCUCCACCUUACACAUAUCCAACUACAGGCAUGUGCCAUUUCACCCAGCAAGAGCUUGACUGUCUUAUCUAGAAAGUGAUACGGAGUGAUGUCAAAGAUGAUGGUCAGAUGAGAGAUAACUGUGAAGAGAAUGUGUAACAUGAGCCCACAGCGGGUUAGUUACAUGUGUAUAAACAUGCAUCUACGGCUAAACAUCUAACCAUUCAGUGACUUGGAACCUGGGCUCUGAAGUCGGACUAUUUUAAUUCUGUUAGUAUUGUAACUUGACUCUUUCUGAGCCAUACAUUCGUUCUUUCUGUGUGGAUCGCAAAUACUCAGUCCAGGCCAUAGCAAAGCCUAAGUAACAUAAUACAGACAGGCGCUCAGGGUGGCACCAGAACACGAUAAACCCUCUGCAAAUUUAAUGGUAAGUUUUUAUUUUUGCAUAAAGUAAUAAUUUUUAUAACAAUAUUGUUAGUAGCCAUAGUUACUUUAUUACCUUUAGAGAGUGGCUUAAAGGGGACAGAAGGGGAG
ensembl:lincRNA